UGUUAUGUAUUUACAAAUCUGAUAUUUCUUUCCGUUUCCGUUUCCGUUCCGUUUUCCGUUUCCGCUGUUUAGCAACACCCAGUUAAAACAUAUUGAAUAUUCUUAUAAUUGCAGUGUUUGCCAUUUUGAUAUUGGAAUUAUUUUCUGGUCAUGUGGGCAGUUUAUAUUAAGAGAUUAUAUAUAAAACAAAUGGCAGACACAGCAAUUAUAAGAAUAUAGAAUAUAUUUGGGGCAAGAUAUAUUAAUUAUUUCUCAUUUUUAAAAUAAAGUAAAAAAAUAGUUUAUUACCAAGAAAAUUACCUUAUCUAAGUUAUGAAAAUCUUCUGUAUAUUCAAGAAAGAAUUAAAAACAAACAUAAAAUCAUAAAA
rnacentral:lncRNA from 1 species